rnacentral:sRNA from 1 species
GCUGGGCAUGGUGGCACACGCCUGUAAUCCCAGUGGCUCAGGAGGCUGAGACAGGAAGAUUGCGAGUUCAAAGCCAGCCUCAGCAACUCAGUGAGGCCCUAAGCAACUCAGUGAGACCCUGUCUCUA